ensembl:snRNA U6 U6 spliceosomal RNA
GUGCUCACUUCAGCAACACACAUACUGCAACUGAAAUGAUUCAGAGAUUAGUAUGCCCUUGUGCAAGGAUGACAUGCAAAUUUGUUAAGCAUUCCAUGUUUUU